rnacentral:rRNA from 1 species
UGGGGAAUAUUGGACAAUGGGCGAAAGCCUGAUCCAGCCAUGCCGCGUGUGUGAAGAAGGUCUUCGGAUUGUAAAGCACUUUAAGUUGGGAGGAAGGGCAGUAAGCGAAUACCUUGCUGUUUUGACGUUACCGACAGAAUAAGCACCGGCUAACUCUGUGCCAGCAGCCGCGGUAAUACAGAGGGUGCAAGCGUUAAUCGGAAUUACUGGGCGUAAAGCGCGCGUAGGUGGUUCGUUAAGUUGAAUGUGAAAGCCCCGGGCUCAACCUGGGAACUGCAUCCAAAACUGGCGAGCUAGAGUAGGGCAGAGGGUGGUGGAAUUUCCUGUGUAGCGGUGAAAUGCGUAGAUAUAGGUAGGAACACCAGUGGCGAAGGCGACCACCUGGGCUCAUACUGACACUGAGGUGCGAAAGAGUGGGGAGCAAACAGG